UUUCUCUUAAUACUUUGGAGGGGACCCUUCAAGGACCAGUAACCUUUUUUUUUUUCUUUUCACUUCAUUGAUAUCGAGUUGUGUUUUGGGGUGGUGGAUUUGAAGAUGGAGAAAGAUUUGGAUGAUUGUGAGUUUUGGUUACCUCCACAGUUUCUUACUGAUGAUGAUCUUUUGAUGGAUUUUAAGACGACUUCUCCGGGGAGUGAAGGGAGUAAGUUGUUUGGAUAUGGGUUAAGCCAGUUUGGGUCGAACUCGGAUCUCAGUUCGCCGGUUGAGUCUGUUGUUGGUUCAACAGAGAACGAGAGUGAUGAGGAUGAUUACAUCAUUGGGUUAACUAGGAAAAUGGUCCAUUCUACACUACAGGAGGCUGGUUUAGGCUAUGAAAACGGCAAGGGUUUGAGUUUGUCUGGUUCGCCACAAUCGACGUUGUGUGGUGUGCUCGGAGCUGGGUGUGGUUGUAAGCAGGGGUCGAGCCGUGGAAGUCCAACUUGUCCAUCUCAGGCUUCUUCUCCGCCGCCGAUGAAAAGGCCGGAUGUGUCGUUGGAUCUGCUUUAUGCGGCUGCUGGAGAAGUGGCGAGGAUUAGAAUGAUGGAGGAGUCAGCCGGUCUGUACCAUAACAAAGGUGGAAUAUGGUCUGCUCCUCCAAGGAAGACAAGUCCAAUACCUGUUGGGCCCAAAAACCCCAAACAGAGUCUUGGUCCAUUUGGCACAAAUCAGCCACAACUCUCUUAUCAGCAGUUGCAAGUAGCUCAAUUUCAGCGUUUGAAGCAACAGCAAAUGAUUAAGCAAGUUCAGGGUCAAGGUGUGUUGGGUAAUGGAAAAGGUGGAUUUAGGCAGUUUCCAUUGAACCAGAGUCACCAGCAAAUGACUGAAAACAGAGCUAGAAAUGGGACUUUGAAUUUGCCUAACUCUGCUUGGCCUACUCUGCAACAAUCUCAACAGCAACAACAGCAUCAGCCCAACUCUGGCUCUGCCAUGCGUGCUGUUUUCCUUGGAAAUCCUGGCCCUAAACGGGAAUGUGCCGGAACUGGGGUCUUUUUGCCUAGAAGAGUUGGAACACAAACUGAAACCCGAAAGAAACCAGGUUGUCCAGUUAUCUUGCCAGACAGAGUGGUCCAGGCUCUGAAUUUGAACUUAGAAGCCAUGGAUGUGGCUUCAAGACCCCAACCCCAAGUUCAAACCAGAAGUCACAAUGAGAAUAUCGGGUUCACCCCAGCUCCUGAAUAUCGAAACUACAUGUCGGCGGCAGCUCAACAGAGAAGAAGCCAGAGAACACAACCACCGCCGGCAAUGCCUCAAGAAUUUCAACUCCCUCAGGAAUGGACUUACUGACUGAGAUAUAAUAAUAGUUUUUUACAUUUCAAGCAGAAAAAAGGGAUUUGUUUGUUUGUUUGUUUUUUGGGUAGUGAUGAUUUGCAGAAAAAUAUAUAGGGGUAUUAGAUAGAAGAAGAUGAAGUUGUUUUAGCAAGGUAAACAAAUGGGGUUCUCUUUUUUUUUUUUUUGGUGUUAGUAUAUUAGGG
rnacentral:misc_RNA from 1 species